CAGUCGCCGCGGUAAUACGGAGGGGGCUAGCGUUGUUCGGAAUUACUGGGCGUAAAGCGCACGUAGGCGGCUGUGUAAGUCAGAGGUGAAAGCCCGGGGCUCAACCCCGGAAUAGCCUUUGAGACUGCAUAGCUUGAACACGGGAGAGGUGAGUGGAAUUCCGAGUGUAGAGGUGAAAUUCGUAGAUAUUCGGAAGAACACCAGUGGCGAAGGCGGCUCACUGGACCGUUGUUGACGCUGAGGUGCGAAAGCGUGGGGAGCAAACAGGAUUAGAUACCCCCGUAGUCCCUGUCUCUUAUAC
rnacentral:rRNA from 1 species